rnacentral:rRNA from 1 species
UACGUAGGGCGCAAGCGUUGUCCGGAAUUAUUGGGCGUAAAGAGCUCGUAGGCGGUUUGUCGCGUCUGCUGUGAAAGCCCGGGGCUCAACCCCGGGUCUGCAGUGGGUACGGGCAGACUAGAGUGCAGUAGGGGAGACUGGAAUUCCGUGGUGUAGGCGGUGAAAAUGCGCAGAUAAUCAGGAGGAACACCGAUGGCGAAGGCAGGAUCUCCUGGGCUGUUACUGACGCUGAGGAGCGAAAGCAUGGGGAGCGAACAGGAAUAGAUACCGGGUAGUC